rnacentral:rRNA from 1 species
UGAGGAAUAUUGGACAAUGGGUGAGAGCCUGAUCCAGCCAUCCCGCGUGAAGGAUGACGGUCCUAUGGAUUGUAAACUUCUUUUGUACAGGGAUAAACCUACCCUCGUGAGGGUAGCUGAAGGUACUGUACGAAUAAGCACCGGCUAACUCCGUGCCAGCAGCCGCGGUAAUACGGAGGGUGCAAGCGUUAUCCGGAUUUAUUGGGUUUAAAGGGUCCGUAGGCGGACCCGUAAGUCAGUGGUGAAAUCUCAUAGCUUAACUAUGAAACUGCCAUUGAUACUGCGGGUCUUGAGUAAAUUUGAAGUGGCUGGAAUAAGUAGUGUAGCGGUGAAAUGCAUAGAUAUUACUUAGAACACCAAUUGCGAAGGCAGGUCACUAAGAUUUAACUGACGCUGAUGGACGAAAGCGUGGGUAGCGAACA